rnacentral:rRNA from 1 species
CGCCUGUUUAUCAAAAACAUGUCUUUUUGUUAAUUAUUUAAGGUUUGGCCUGCUCCAUGAGGAUUAUUAAAUAGCCGCAGUAUUUUGACUGUGCAAAGGUAGCAUAAUCAUUAGUUUUUUAAUUGAAAGCUGGAAUGAAGGGUCGGAUGAGAAAGUUACUGUCUCAAUAGUAUUUUCUUUGAAUUUUAUUUUUAAGUUAAAAAGCUUAAAUUUUAUAAAAAGACGAGAAGACCCUAUAGAGUUUAAUAGGCUUAUAAUGUGAUUAUUUGUAGAUGUAAAUUUAAUUACUUUAUAUUCUAUUUGGUUGGGGUGACUUAAGAAUUGAUUAAACUUCUUAAUUUAAAUACAUUGAUUAGUGAAUAAUUGAUCCUAAAGUUUGGAUUAUAAGAAUAAAUUACCUUAGGGAUAACAGCGUAAUUCUUUUAGAGAGUUCUAAUCGAUAAAAGGGAUUGCGACCUCGAUGUUGGAUUAAAGUUAAAUUUUGGUGCAAAAGCUAGUAAUUUA